rnacentral:rRNA from 1 species
GGACGGUAAAUAAGGAGGAAGCCCCGGCUAACUACGUGCCAGCAGCCGCGGUAAUACGUAGGGGGCGAGCGUUGUCCGGAAUCACUGGGCGUAAAGGGCGCGUAGGCGGUUUAAUAAGUCAGUGGUGAAAACUGGGGGCUCAACUCCCAGCCUGCCACUGAUACUGUUAGACUUGAGUAUGGAAGAGGAGAAUGGAAUUCCAUGUGUAGCGGUGAAAUGCGUAGAUAUAUGGAGGAACACCGGUGGCGAAAGCGGCUCUCUGGUCUGUAACUGACGCUGAGGCGCGAAAGCGUGGGUAGCAAACAGGAUUAGAUACCCUG